AAACAAUGAUGAAUACCGUAUCCCGAAUCUGAGCCAAGUUUGAUGAUAGCAAACUACGGAUCUGACUACUGAGUU
rnacentral:snoRNA from 1 species